GAAAAAGUGGCGAUGCCUUCAAAGUGGAGAAUGGGUUGAUAAGGGGGGAGUGGGGAGAGACAUUUUAGCUCCUACUGGGUAAUUAUCACCCGUGGAAAGCUGAGGAGUUAGCUGGUGGGAGGGAAAUUACAACCUAUCAUAAAACCAAUCUCUCCCAAAUCCAGUCUCUUCGGUGCUCAGGAGUGUUUGGUCUGGUUCCAAGGCUCAGCUUCUGGAGGAGUUUGAGAGGUCCCUCGACAGAGUCCAACCCUCUGCAAGGCAGACACCACAUCCCUUUUGUUCGGAGGAGCACGAAAACGGGGAAGGCGUCAGCAGAGAAAGGCAGAUCAACGCCAAGCAUCUGGAAGCCGAAGACGGAGGAAAUCCAAUUAAAAAUCAGGCAAUGCUGCGAGUAGAACAAGCCAUGAAGUGAUGGAUUAUUCAUUCCAUGAUGUCUUCAACUCAAGAGAAGGGCAGAAUAAUCGAUCCUUCCAGCACUUCCACACUGUUUAUUGAUGAUGAACACUCCAGCCCAACUUUUGGGAGCGUGCACUUUCCACUGCGAGAGCCAGGCCCUGACUUUGGCAAACUGCAAAGUUCCCAUGGAUGAUGGAGGACAAUCCACCAGCCCUACUAGGGUAGGGGUGAAGCCACCCUGAGACCACUGAGCACUGAGCCCCCAGUAAAGCAGAGCUGGAAGAAGAACAAAGUCAACCCAGGCCACCCCAGCUGAAGUACAUGGGAAACACAAGAUGUAACUGUCAGUGCAAGUCUCCCCUGGCCAAAAACAGGAACAGAAUUUGGGCUGAAGUCCGUGGAUUUGGAGAAAAAAAAAAAAAAAAGAAAAUAAAAGAUUGGCCUUUUAGCCCAUCUUGGGCACAAAAUUUGGGGCUGGCUUUGGGAAGUGCCUUGCAUGGCUGUUUGCUCAGCCAAGUCCUUUUCUCCUGAGUCUGCUGCAGGAAUUGAUCCACCAAGGGUUGUACCUGCUCUGCUCUGAAUAAAUCUGCAUAUCAGCCUCUUCCAUGAAUGAAAAAUGCAUGCACCAGUAAA